ensembl:lncRNA
UUCAUUUUCUGCCCCUUUGCUUCUGGAGGGUCAUCAUUACUCCUUGCUUUCCAGGGGUUGCUAACAUCACCCCUUCUCUCCCUCCAGAAUGGGUGAGGGGUCUUACUUGGCAUUUCAGCUUUCUGAAACAGUCUGAGGCUGGGCUAACACUAGAGCGUGUCCAUGGCUUUAUUCUUCCUUCCGUUUCCCUGUCAUCCAAUCAGAGUCACAUAAGGUUAGUUAAAGCGUUCCAGAUCACUUACUCGGCAGCGCCAUUUCUGAUUCUGCAUGUCUAGCAACUGUUUGCUCACAUUCUGAGAGUACUUCCUUCAUCACCCCUGAGGGUGCCUGGUCUCUGGUUGUGUCAAUCCACGUGAUUCUGGUGGGGCCCAGAACUUCUCCUGACCACAGCAACUGGCUCAUGUGUGGGCAUGUGGCCCAAGGGCACCCAUGAGGCAGUCCAGAGAAAGCCCCUCUGUUUUUCUGCUGUGGGGAUGAAAGCCUGGAGCUGCUGGAGAUCCCCAUAUAUAAGGAACAUUCCAGAAAGGGAACCAACAGGGAACCAACACAGGAGGGAAGCAGUGCUGAAGAAUGGAGGAGAGAGACCAGGCUGGGAGGAAGUUGCUUGAUAUCCUGGACUAGCCAAUUCUGAAUCCAUGACUUUUCGAUUUCAUGAGUAAUAUGUAUCUGUGUUUUGCCUCCUUAGGACAGUUUAGGUUGGGUUUUCUGACACCUGAGAACCAGUGGCUUUGAUGCUGCAUACCCCAAAACUUUGGAAAUGGGACAACAGAGAGCCUGUGAAGAAAGGCACCAUCCAAGGUCACACAGAGAGGCAGCUCUGAAGAAUAUGGCUGCAGUGAAGUUUGCUGCCACUAGGGGGCAGGAGCGCCAAAGCAAAGGACUAAGUUCCGUGAAGAAAACAAACGAAGCCCGCAGGUAACAUGCUUAACAGUCGGACAGGGUUUGCACGGCUGUGAGACCCGUCAAGCUCCCAAGCCCAAGCUCUGCGUGUCUUGAUUCGGACACACCAAGUGUGCUUACAAUGAUGAUUCCCUUUUGCACAGAGUUGAUUGCUAUAGGUGCUAGUGCCAGCAGAGAAAAUUUAAAAGUGAGCUUCUGGUGGGGGUGGUUCGUAUUGCCUUGUAAAACAAAGGCAUGGAGUCUUGGAUUAGAAUUUAAGCUUUAAGAGCCCUUCUAAAUGUGCAGAGGGUCUAGGGGGCCCCAGUCUUGGUUCUCAGUGUGCUGUGUGAUCUUGCUUAAGAACAUACUCUCUGGGUCUAAACUGCUCUUUUAUCAAAGGAUGAUACAAUGUGAAAAGUCGCUUCUGAUUGGAAGAAUCCAAGUGGUGAAGACAGUUAAGAGUGGAGAACGGGCCCCCUCAGGAUGCCUCCUUGUGUAAUUUCUAAUUUAGGGGGUUUUUCCCCUGAGGGAGUUCUGUUUUCCUGACUGAUACCUCCUUUCAUUUUACAGAAGAAUAUACUUUACGACAAAGUAAUGAAGAGCUAGGGCGGAGUUCUGGCAAGCGAUGAGCGAGAUCCUCUUUUCAGAUCACACCACGAGAGUCAGAAUCCUUUUUGCCUUUUGACAGGGAUGAGGCAUUUGAUUCUGAUAUGGGAGACUGAGUGAAUACAUGCAAGAAGCAAGAUUCUCCCUGAAACUCAAACCCUCCAUGAUCCUGGAAUCCAG